UCAGUGCACUACAGAACUUUG
rnacentral:ncRNA from 6 species